rnacentral:rRNA from 1 species
ACGCUGGCGGCGUGGAUUAGGCAUGCAAGUCGAACGGUAGGAUACCUUCGGGUAUCUGAGAGUGGCGAACGGGUGAGUAACACGUAGGUGAUCUACCCUCAAGAUUGGGACAACCCAGGGAAACUUGGGCUAAUACCGGAUGAAAGCAGCAGUGAUGUUGUUUGAAAGGUGGCGUAAGCUGCCGUUUGGGGAUGAGCCUGCGCUCUAUUAGUUAGUUGGCGGGGUAAGGGCCCACCAAGGCGAUGAUAGAUAGGCGGCCUUAACGGGUGGUCGCCCACACUGGGAUUGAGAUACGGCCCAGACUCCUACGGGAGGCAGCAGUCGAGAAUAGUCUACAAUGGCCGAAAGGCUGAUAGUGCGACGCCGCGUGAACGAAGAAGCCCUUCGGGGUGUAAAGUUCUUUUAUAUGUGAGCAGUGCUUUCUAUGUGAACAGCAUGGGGAGAGAGAUAUUAGCAUAUGAAUAAGCAACGGCUAACUCCGUG